rnacentral:rRNA from 1 species
CAAUAGCGUAUAUUAAAGUUGUUGCAGUUAAAAAGCUCGUAGUUGGAUUUGUGGCGUACGGUGGGUUCCGGGCACUUGUUGUCUGAGUAACUUGCUGUUGCCAUCCUUGGGUGGAACCUGCGUGGCAUUAGGUUGUCGUGCAGGGGAUGCCCAUCAUUUACUGUGAAAAAAUUAGAGUGUUCAAAGCAGGCUUAUGCCGUUGAAUAUAUUAGCAUGGAAUAAUGAGAUAGGACUUUUUUGCUAUUUUGUUGGUUUGCGCAAAGAGGUAAUGAUUAAUAGGGACAGUUGGGGGUAUUCGUAUUCCAUUGUCAGAGGUGAAAUUCUUGGAUUUUUGGAAGACGAACUACUGCGAAAGCAUUUACCAAGGAUGUUUUCAUUAA